rnacentral:lncRNA from 1 species
GUCACGCCUCAAAUUUGGGACAUAAUACGGCCAUGCUACCGUAGGAUAUCACCCUCGAUAAUACGAAGCCUAUCAAUCAUAAUCAACUAAAAUCCAUCAUAAAUAAGAUAUAAUAAGAGGUUCAAUUUCAUUAUUCAUCAAAUUAAUAAAUCAAGAUUGCUUCAGUGCAUCUAAAUCCAAAAUCAAAUAUCAAAAAUUCAUAUCUCAAAACUUAUCAAUAGAUAGCUACAAGUCC